CGAGUCGAACGGGAUAUCAAGUUAGCAAUAAUGAGAUAUUUAGUGGCGAACGGGUGCGUAACACGUGGGAAUCUGCCGAGGAGUGGGGGAUAGCUCGCCGAAAGGCGAAUUAAUACCGCAUUAAAAGAGGGGGACCGCAAGGCCUCUCGCUUCUCGAUGAGCCCGCGGCCUAUCAGCUAGUUGGUAAGGUAAUGGCUUACCAAGGCUUUGACGGGUAGCUGGUCUGAGAGGACGACCAGCCACACUGGGACUGAGACACGGCCCAGACACCUACGGGUGGCAGCAGUCGAGAAUUUUUCACAAUGGGGGAAA
rnacentral:rRNA from 1 species